ensembl:rRNA 5S_rRNA 5S ribosomal RNA
GUCUACCGCCAUACCAUGCUGAAUGCACCCGAUCUUGUCUGAUCUCAGAAGCUAAGCAGAGUCAGACCCUGUUAGUUCUUGGAUGAUGAACUAAGCCCCAUCUUGGAGAUGGGGCCACCCAGAUC